rnacentral:tRNA from 1 species
CGGGGCAUGGCGCAGCUUGGUAGCGUACACCCUUGGGGUGGGUGGGGUCGCCAGUUCAAAUCUGGUUGCCCCGA